CAUCAGCUAUUUGGAGCAGCAAUUAAGUGUUCAUAGAAGCCUUGGUCAACGAGGACAACAGAGAAGGAAGAACGGAGCAACUAAUUAAUCCAUAGAAAAACACCGGAUUUGAUUCUUGUUCCUUAUCUCUUUAAUUUCUGUUGUUGUUAUGCUGAACAUAUAUAUGAAUAUUUAUGUUGUUGGAAUGGUUAAUUUAAUCAAUUUAGCUUGAAUUUAAUUUGUGUUAGAUUGAUUGCAUUUCGUUUGUUAGAAUUAUUGGAAUUGUGUUUAUGUUGUU
rnacentral:lncRNA from 1 species